rnacentral:rRNA from 1 species
GCAUAUCAAUAAGCGGAGGAAAAGAAACCAACAGGGAUUGCCUCAGUAACGGCGAGUGAAGCGGCAAGAGCUCAAAUUUGAAAGCUGGCCCCCUCGGGGUCCGCAUUGUAAUUUGCAGAGGAUGCUUCGGGAGUGGCCCCCAUCUAAGUGCUCUGGAACGGGCCGUCAUAGAGGGUGAGAAUCCCGUAUGGGAUGGGGUGUCCGCGACCAUGUGAAGCUCCUUCAACGAGUCGAGUUGUUUGGGAAUGCAGCUCUAAAUGGGUGGUAAAUUUCAUCUAAAGCUAAAUAUUGGCCGGAGACCGAUAGCGCACAAGUAGAGUGAUCGAAAGAUGAAAAGCACUUUGAAAAGAGAGUUAAAAAGCACGUGAAAUUGUUGAAAGGGAAGCGC